rnacentral:rRNA from 1 species
GGUUUAGGCCCUUGGCAAACGGGAGAGUAACGCAUUGGUAAUCUACCUCGAAGACGGGUAUAACUGGGCGAAAGCUCAAAUAAUUCCCGAUGGUAUUGGAUAGCCCAAGUUAUCCACUUAAAGAUUUAUCGCUUCGAGAGGAACCUAUGUACCAUCAGCUUGUUGGUGAGGUAAUGGCUCACCAAGGCUACGACGGUUAUCGGGUGUGAGAGCAUGGCCCGACUCACUGGGACUGAGACACUGCCCAGACUCCUACGGGAGGCUGCAGUCAUGAAUCUUCCUCAAUGGCCGAAAGGCUGAAGGAGCGACGCCGCGUGUGUGAUGAAGCCCUUUGGGGUGUAAAACACUUUUAUCUGGGAAGAACAAAUGACGGUACCAGAUGAAUAAGGGGUUGCUAAACUCGUGCCAGCAGCAGCGGUAAUACGAGUACCCCGAGCGUUAUCCGGAUUUAUUGGGCGUAAAGCGUGCGUAGGCGGNUUGUAACAUCUNCUGUAAAAUCCCAAGGCUCAACCUUGGGCCUGCGGGAGAUAUGGACAAACUAGAGACUGGAAGAGGCAAGCGGAAUUGCUGGUGUAGGGGUUAAAUCCGUUAAUAUCAGCAGGAACGCCAAAAGUGAAGACAGCUUGCUAGGACAGUUCUGACGCUAAGGCACGAAAGCGUGGGGAGCGAACGAGAUUAGAUACCUCGGUAGUCCACGCCGUAAACGAUGGAUGCUGAGCAUCGGGAGUUUCGACCCUCUCGGUGCUGUCUACCUAAGCUAACGCCUUAAGCAUCCCGCCUGGGGAGUACGGUCGCAAGAUUAAAACUCAAAGGAAUAGACGGGGACCCGCACAAGCGGUGGAGCAUGUGGUUUAAUUCGACGAUAAGCGUGGAACCUCACCAAGGUUUGACAUCUAGCUGCAGGCCCCUGGAAACAGGGGGUUCUUCGAGAGUGCUAGACAGAUGCUGCAUGGUUGUCGUCAGCUCGUGUCGUGAGAUGUACGGUUAAGUCCGAAAACGAGCGCAACCCUCAUCCUAUGUUUUAUAUGUCAUAGGAAACUGCCUACUUUAAGUAGGAGGAAGGUGAGGAUGACGUCAAGUCAGCAUGGUUCUUACACCUUGGGCUACACACGUGCUACAAGGGGAAGUACAAAGGGACGCCAAGCCGUAAGGUGGAGCAAAUCCCAAAAAGCUUCCUCAGUUCGGAUUGAGGUCUGCAACUCGACCUCAUGAAGCUGGAAUCGCUAGUA